CGAUUGAUCGAACUGUCAUCGAAAAAACUUUUUGUGCAGUACCAUUUCGAGAGUAGUUGCGUGCGGACGACGGAACGGAUUUCAAAUCGCGAAGAAUUUAGUGGCCAUCCGCAAAUUGCGGACCGCAAUUAGAAUUUGUGUAGUUUUGUGGGGGAAGAAAAAAGGAGCUUUCAAGAACAGUUACUUCGAGUUGCGUGAGUUCCGUGAGCUGAAUUGGCGCGAAUACUAAAAAGAAAAA